AGUGAACGCUGGCGGUAGGCCUAACACAUGCAAGUCGAACGGCAGCACAGUAAGAGCUUGCUCUUACGGGUGGCGAGUGGCGGACGGGUGAGGAAUACAUCGGAAUCUACUUUUUCGUGGGGGAUAACGUAGGGAAACUUACGCUAAUACCGCAUACGACCUACGGGUGAAGGCAGGGGAUCUUCGGACCUUGCGCGAUUGAAUGAGCCGAUGUCGGAUUAGCUAGUUGGCGGGGUAAAGGCCCACCAAGGCGACGAUCCGUAGCUGGUCUGAGAGGAUGAUCAGCCACACUGGAACUGAGACACGGUCCAGACUCCUACGGGAGGCAGCAGUGGGGAAUAUUGGACAAUGGGCGCAAGCCUGAUCCAGCCAUACCGCGUGGGUGAAGAAGGCCUUCGGGUUGUAAAACCCUUUUGUUGGGAAAGAAAAGCAGCAGGUUAAUACCCCGCUGUUCUGACGGUACCCAAAGAAUAAGCACCGGCUAACUUCGUG
rnacentral:rRNA from 1 species